rnacentral:lncRNA from 1 species
GCAAGCAGGGCUCUCUCCUGGAAGCCAUCCAAACUAGGAGAGAAUCUAAACAGCAGCAAUGAUAGGGUGCUAUUACCACGAGAUUGUGGGUACUACUGUGUAAGACUGCAGAAACGAGAAUGAAAUUCAAACCACUUUGAAAAUUGUUUGGCUGGUACAAUUUUGCACAAAAGGCAGUUUUAUAAAAUAUUAUAAUUCUAUCGAAUAUGAUGACUAAAUUUGACAACAGGAGUUGAAAUUCUAUUUCUAGAAUGCCUGCUCUUUGCUUAUUUCUCAUUAGCGAUUCAAUUAUAACAGUAGUAAAAUAUAACAGUGAAUUCUAUUUUGGAAGCAUGCAAUUUCAUGGAAGUAUACUCCACCCUGUCAUAGCUUUGGGUGGAGGGGAAAAGGAAAAAAAAAAACAACAAUUUUCAUGCCAGGAAAGUAAGCAUUUGCCAACUUUCCAAAGAGAUCCUCUUUGAAAAUCCAAGCUCACAAGGAAAACUUUUUAAUAUUUUUCAUAUUCAAAGACCUGGAAAUAGUCCAUCUGACUCUUGAGGCCCAAUGAAUGGUUUUAGGUUAGGAUUCUGCUCUGCCUCUAAGAAUUGGUGAACAUAAUUUUGCUUCUCGAAUGAAGAGUGAGCAGGUCCGUGUGGUGUUCUGAAAGCAUGGGCUGUAUUACCACAGAACUACAAAUAAGGCACCAGGAACUCAGAGGCCGGCAGCCUCUGAGAUAUUUCACUUUUCUGCCCCAGAGAUAGAAGGAAGGGAAAGAAGACUGAGUUAUACAUUUUAACUACAUGUUAAUUUUCGAAGAAGGAUGGAGGGAUAGAAGUAAAAUCUACAGACCAGAGUUUCUGAUUGUAGGCUCCCAUCUGGAAGGAGUGGCUAUGUCCAACAGCAGGCACGGUCAGUAGGGAUGUGACAAUUUGGAGAGAGGGGCCAUCCUUAAAUUCCUCACUUUUUGAAGCCUUUCCAUAAAACUACUGGAGUGGAGGACCAGACCAGGACCCGGAAAG